GUCCUCCCCAAGGCCAUUCACUCACUCUGUCCCUGAGCUCAUGGCCAGGCUGACUGGGGAGGGUGUUUAAGGCACAGACAGGCCCUGAAGUCCCACCCAUUCUACUGCUGGCUCAGCUCACAUUACCUCCUAUUUGGACUUGUUUGCUGCUCACAGUCAAGUUCUCCAAGACCAGGAUUGCUGGCUCUCAGUUUCUAGAACAACCACAGUGGAAGAUGCUGAUUCAUACUUCUGGAAACCAGAAGUGAAGUUACAUCUGGUGCAUUUUCCAAGAGGAGCCUUGUGCUGUGUGUGGCUGCUGUAUUCUACAUAAAGAGCUGCUUUUCCAACAACCAUGUGGAGACUGAAUAAGGGUUUGAAGGAUAAUCAAGGCUGAGGCCAUGUUCUCCAUCUGCUGAAGCUUUUGGUCACUCAGCCUUCUAGAGGCAGUUACUGUUAAGCCAAGAUCUCAAGCUUCCAGGUCCCAUUCUUGGGUCCUUCCUUAGGUUCAUUGCUUGGAGUUGGUUUUCUCAAUAAAGGAACUUGAACAUUAUUUAAGUUUUGGGCCUUCCAAAAUCUAAAUCAGCCUCACUUUCAGACAGAAAGUUUUCUUUUUGUCACUUGCCUUCUUCCAGCCACAGAUAAAACGGGAGGCGAACAGGUUGUUAUGUGUUACUGCUAGGUCGCUUGGUUGGAGUUCUAUAAACAUAGUACUGAGAAGAGUUCUGAAGGACUGCUGCUAUUCAGAUUGAUUAAUAAUGUCUGCCUUGGUUGAAGGCAGAGGUAGGCCAUCUUAGUAGUCAAGUAUUUAUGUGCUGGACAGUCAUAGAUGGUGUUCUAGUUUGCUUUCUAUUGCUUUGAACACAAUCAUCAAAGCAACUUGGAAGUGUUAUUUCGUUUACAGAUCUGGAUCACAGUUAGUCAUUGAAAAAAGUCAGAGCAAGA
rnacentral:lncRNA from 1 species